GACGAACGCUGGCGGCGUGCUUAACACAUGCAAGUCGAACGAUGAAGCUGGAGCUUGCUCCGGUGGAUUAGUGGCGAACGGGUGAGUAACACGUGAGCAAUCUGCCCUUGACUCUGGGAUAACUGCGGGAAACUGUAGCUAAUACCGGAUAUGAGGCUUGGAGGCAUCUCCAGGUCUGGAAAGAAUUUCGGUCAAGGAUGAGCUCGCGGCCUAUCAGCUAGUUGGUGAGGUAAUGGCUCACCAAGGCGACGACGGGUAGCCGGCCUGAGAGGGGGACCGGCCACACUGGGACUGAGACACGGCGCAGACUCCUACGGGAGGCAGCAGUGGGGAAUAUUGCACAAUGGGCGAAAGCCUGAUGCAGCAACGCCGCGUGAGGGAUGAAGGCCUUCGGGUUGUAAACCUCUUUUAGCAGGGAAGAAGCGAAAGUGACGGUACCUGCAGAAAAAGCACCGGCUAACUACGUGCCAGCCGCCGCCGUAA
rnacentral:rRNA from 1 species